rnacentral:misc_RNA from 1 species
UAUCGGAAGGUGCGGCUGGAUCACCUCCUUUUGAGUAUGGUGAAUAUAAUUGUCUUAUCAGGCGUCCUCACAAGUUACUUGCAUUCAGGGUUUGAUGUUGGCAUAGGUUUGGGUUUAUGUUGGCGAUUUUUGUUCUGGGGGCCUUAGCUCAGCUGGUAGAGCACCUGCUUUGCAAGCAGGGGGUCGUCGGUUCGAUCCCGACAGGCUCCACCAUGAAAGUAUUUAUGGGUCUGUAGCUCAGGUGGUUAGAGCGCACCCCUGAUAAGGGUGAGGUCGGUGGUUCGAGUCCUCCCAGACCCACCAAUGUUAUAUCAAUUAUUCUGAAUGUGGUUUGCGCAUUUUUUAUGCUUAUCAGCCUUGGAGCUGUGAAGCGUUCUUUUAUAAUUUGAUGAUGUAGCAAGCGUUUGAACUUUUUAUUAAUAAUUUCUCAUUGGAAGCCUUAAGUGACAAUGUUUAUCCAUUGUCUUGUAGAUUUUGAGGCGACUUUGGGUUAUAUGGUCAAGCGAAUAAGCG